rnacentral:rRNA from 1 species
UACGGGGGGCGCAAGCGUUGUUCGGAUUUACUGGGCGUACAGGGCGCGUAGGCGGCGCAACAAGUCACUUGUGAAAUCUCCGGGCUUAACCCGGAGCGGCCAAGUGAUACUGUCGUGCUAGAGUGCGGAAGGGGCUACUGGAAUUCUCGGUGUAGCGGUGAAAUGCGUAGAUAUCGAGAGGAACACCUGCGGCGAAGGCGGGUAGCUGGGCCGACACUGACGCUGAGGCGCGAAAGCCAGGGGAGCGAACGGG